rnacentral:rRNA from 1 species
UACGAAGGUGGCAAGCGUUACUCGGAAUUACUAGGCGUAAAGGGCAGGUAGGUGGUUUGGUAAGUCUAUUGUGAAAGCUCCCGGCUUAACUGGGAGAGGUCAAUGGAUACUGCCGAACUUGAGUAUAGGAGAGGUUACUGGAAUUCCCGGUGUAGCGGUGAAAUGCGCAGAGAUCGGGAGGAACACCAAUGGCGAAAGCAGGUAACUGGACUAUUACUGACACUCAGCUGCGAAAGCUAGGGGAGCAAACAGG